rnacentral:rRNA from 1 species
CAGUAGCCGCGGUAAUACGUAGGGUGCAAGCGUUAAUCGGAAUUACUGGGCGUAAAGCGUGCGCAGGCGGUUCGCUAAGACAGAUGUGAAAUCCCCGGGCUUAACCUGGGAACUGCAUUUGUGACUGGCGGGCUAGAGUAUGGCAGAGGGGGGUAGAAUUCCACGUGUAGCAGUGAAAUGCGUAGAGAUGUGGAGGAAUACCGAUGGCGAAGGCAGCCCCCUGGGCCAAUACUGACGCUCAUGCACGAAAGCGUGGGGAGCAAACAGGAUUAGAUACCCGUGUAGUCCCUGUCUCUUAUAC